GACGUAGGUGGCUAGCGUUGUUCGGAAUCACUGGGCAUAAAGGGCGCGUAGGCGGCCAAGUCAGUCGGGUGUGAAAUCCCUCGGCUCAACCGAGGAACUGCGCCCGAUACUGCUUGGCUUGAGGGCCGGAGGGGAGAGUGGAAUUCCCGGUGGAGCGGUGAAAUGCGUAGAGAUCGGGAAGAACGCCGGUGGCGAAAGCGACUCUCUGGACGGUACCUGACGCUGAGGCGCGAAAGCUAGGGGAGCAAACGGG
rnacentral:rRNA from 1 species